CCUACGGGAGAGCUGCAGUGGGGAAUAUUGGACAAUGGGCGAAAGCCUGAUCCAGCCAUGCCGCGUGUGUGAAGAAGGCCUUCGGGUUGUAAAGCACUUUCAGUGGGGAAGAAAGCCUUGGGGCUAAUACCCUCGAGGAAGGACAUCACCCACAGAAGAAGCACCGGCUAACUCCGUGCCAGCAGCCGCGGUAAUACGGAGGGUGCGAGCGUUAAUCGGAAUUACUGGGCGUAAAGCGCGCGUAGGCGGUCUGAUAAGCCGGUUGUGAAAGCCCCGGGCUCAACCUGGGAACGGCAUCCGGAACUGUCAGGCUAGAGUGCAGGAGAGGAAGGUAGAAUUCCCGGUGUAGCGGUGAAAUGCGUAGAGAUCGGGAGGAAUACCAGUGGCGAAGGCGGCCUUCUGGACUGACACUGACGCUGAGGUGCGAAAGCGUGGGUAGCAAACAGGAUUAGAUACCCCGGUAGUC
rnacentral:rRNA from 1 species